rnacentral:rRNA from 1 species
AGAGUUUGAUCCUGGCUCAGGAUGAACGCUAGCGGCAGGCUUAAUACAUGCAAGUCGAGGGGUAACAUGGGUAGCAAUACCUGAUGACGACCGGCAAACGGGUGCGGAACACGUACGCAACCUUCCCAAAACUGGUGAAUAGCCUUUCGAAAGAGAGAUUAAUACACCGUAAGAUAGUGAGGAGGCAUCUCUUUACUAUU